UACGGAGGGAGCUAGCGUUGUUCGGAAUUACUGGGCGUAAAGCGCACGUAGGCGGCGACUCAAGUCAGAGGUGAAAGCCCGGGGCUCAACCCCGGAACUGCCUUUGAAACUAGGUCGCUAGAAUCUUGGAGAGGUCAGUGGAAUUCCGAGUGUAGAGGUGAAAUUCGUAGAUAUUCGGAAGAACACCAGUGGCGAAGGCGACUGACUGGACAAGUAUUGACGCUGAGGUGCGAAAGCGUGGGGGAGCAAACAGG
rnacentral:rRNA from 1 species